CCUACGGGCGGCUGCAGUGGGGAAUCUUGCGCAAUGGGCGAAAGCCUGACGCAGCGACGCCGCGUGCGGGAGGAAGCUUUUCGGAGUGUAAACCGCUGUCAGAGGGGAAGAAAUGUCUCGGGAGGAAAUGCUCGGGAUUUGACGGUACCCUCAAAGGAAGCACCGGCUAACUCUGUGCCAGCAGCCGCGGUAAUACAGAGGGUGCGAGCGUUGUUCGGAAUUACUGGGCGUAAAGCGCGCGCAGGCGGCCCUUUAAGUCUGUCGGUCAAACGCCG
rnacentral:rRNA from 1 species